AGUGAACGCUGGCGGUAGGCCUAACACAUGCAAGUCGAACGGCAGCACAGUAGGAGCUUGCUCUUACGGGUGGCGAGUGGCGGACGGGUGAGGAAUACAUCGGAAUCUACUUUUUCGUGGGGGAUAACGAAGGGAAACUUACGCUAAUACCGAAUACGACCUACGGGUGAAAGCAGGGGAUCUUCGGACCUUGCGCGAUUGAAUGAGCCGAUGUCGGAUUAGCUAGUUGGCGGGGUAAAGGCCCACCAAGGCGACGAUCCGUAGCUGGUCUGAGAGGAUGAUCAGCCACACUGGAACUGAGACACGGUCCAGACUCCUACGGGAGGCAGCAGUGGGGAAUAUUGGACAAUGGGCGCAAGCCUGAUCCAGCCAUACCGCGUGGGUGAAGAAGGCCUUCGGGUUGUAAAGCCCUUUUGUUGGGAAAGAAAAGCAGCAGGUUAAUACCCCGCUGUUCUGACGGUACCCAAAGAAUAAGCACCGGCUAACUUCGUG
rnacentral:rRNA from 1 species